CAGGUAUACAGAUUUUUGCUUUUUCAAUCAACAGAGGUAAUGCACACUUAUACAGCUGAUUGGAAUAUUUAGUUUAAACUUUAAUAACUGCCAUAUUUAUUCAAAUAUUUGUUUUUUAUUAGCUGCUGGUGUGAAGAUGGCCAUGUUGCCCAGCCUCACUAAGGAGGAUUUGCGAGACCUGUUUCCUGGGUCAGAAAACUUUUUAAGAAGAAGACACAUUUGGCAACUUGUUCAUGUGGAUAUGGAGAGUCAGAAAUUGGAUCGCCCCGCUCUUGACACUUCUGUUAUAGACAGCCCAUCUACGCCUUUGUUUUCCUCCUCCUCUGACAGCAACAUCAGCUCUCCAACACCCUUCAAUUCUCCAAAACCUAAACACAAAGAUUGUUCUGGCGCCACUAAAAAGCUUCGGCUCAUUAGUCCAGAGUAUGUCAUAUACACUGACACAGAACUAGAACUAGCAAGAAGUGCUUACUUUGAAAAGCAGCGUGCUGGACAAGAUGAAGACUACACCAUGCCAAAAGACUUGCGCUGUAGACUCAUUAGGAAUACAGUAACAGGCAUGAUUGCUAUGAAAAGAGCGUCCGAGGAUGAUUUUAAGUACCCAGGCUCCCGUGAACUGACUGCCAUGGCUAAGCGUCUAGUAGAAUACUACCCAAUGCUGUGAGACAAGUCUACGUCCAAUACACCUGAAUGGGAAAUGGUGAAGAAGCAGUUGUUGAAAAGGGUUCAGAAUGUGACAACUCCAAAAAAGAAGCAAGGUCCAACCCCAUCAAGAAAAGGACCUAGAAGCCUAAAAUUCCAGAGCAGCCAGGCGACGUGCACUGAAGAGAGUGAUGAACCUUUCUCCUCCCCUGCUUCAGUCUCUUCAGCUGCUUCAUCAGUCGCCUCGUCGUCUUCCUCCACUGUGAUCCUAGAGAAGUCAACUCCUUCUACAAGUACUUCCCAAGAGGUGGAUCUCUUUAGUGCUAUAGAGAGCCCACAGAGCCAAGCGAGACACUAUAAAACUCUGCAGGAUUUGUACAAAACUAAGAACAAACCCAACAAGGAAGAUGUAUCCCAGCUGCUGGAAUUGGAGUUCCAAUCUAGACGAGCUUUCAUUGACUCUGAUGUGAUGAAGGAACAGGACAGGCCUAUGAAGAUACUGCAGGCUUAUCCAUGUUUUAAAGAACUUGGCCAUAUCAUCGAUGAACUCCAGCGAAUCCUUGAUAAAGGAAACCCCUUCUUCACAAUGGAGCUGAAGAAACGUUGGCUGAGAUUUUUUAACCAGGCACAGUUUUAUGGGGUGUUCAAAAAAAUCAUAGGACCACCACUGCAGGACCAAGUAAAGAAUGCACUUGCUGUCCUGAAAGUACUGCCUCAGAUGUUCCCUUCGCAUGUAGCUCUGCCGAAGAGGUUGGGACACCCAAGUGAUGCUUUGAUUCACAUUUUGAAGUCAGCAGAGGACCCCAACACUUACCUUCAAUCAAGACCCUUGGUCAGCCCUGUGGUGAUUGUCUGUGAGACAAACUGCAUCCUGGUCAUUGGAACAGUUCCUCUGCUGACUUUCCCCAAAGAAGACCUCAGUGAAAGCGUGAUGUAUCUUCUUGGCUGUUAUUACACCUUUCACCUCACAUAUCCCAAGUGCAUUGCUACCCUCCUGUCUGUGCUACAGACAGAGGUUUUGUUAGAUGCCAUCCAUGAGAAGGACAUGACUACUUCCUACAAAAAAUCUAUGGCUGAAUGGAGAAAGUUUCAUGAUUAAGACAGUUUAAACAUCAGUUUUAGUUUAAGUAGUUCAGCAGCAUUAAGUCCCUCCUUUUAAAAUGUGGCUCCUGUUCAAUGAUGUUAAACUACAGUCGUGUGGGGCUAUUGGUUAUUGCUCUGGUUUGUGGUCUUGACAUUGUGAUUUUUGCACAAUAAAAGUGUAGAAAGAUAUGUCUCA
ensembl:lncRNA uncharacterized LOC114459265